AACGUAGGUGGCGAGCGUUAUCCGGAUUCAUUGGGCGUAAAGAGCUUGUAGGUGGCUUCGUAAGUUGGACGUGAAAUCUCCGGGCUUAACUUGGAGACGCCGUUCAAUACUGCGAGGCUAGAGGAUGUCAGAGGGAAGUGGAAUUCCUGGUGUAGCAGUGAAAUGCGUAGAUAUCAGGAGGAACACCCGUGGCGAAGGCGGCUUCCUGGGGCAUUCCUGACACUGAGAAGCGAAAGCUAGGGGAGCAAACGGG
rnacentral:rRNA from 1 species